rnacentral:rRNA from 2 species
UUAAGCGACUAAGCGUACACGGUGGAUGCCCUGGCAGUCAGAGGCGAUGAAGGACGUGCUAAUCUGCGAUAAGCGUCGGUAAGGUGAUAUGAACCGUUAUAACCGGCGAUUUCCGAAUGGGGAAACCCAGUGUGAUUCGUCACACUAUCAUUAACUGAAUCCAUAGGUUAAUGAGGCGAACCGGGGGAACUGAAACAUCUAAGUACCCCGAGGAAAAGAAAUCAACCGAGAUUCCCCCAGUAGCGGCGAGCGAACGGGGAGCAGCCCAGAGCCUGAAUCAGUGUGUGUGUUAGUGGAAGCGUCUGGAAAGGCGCGCGAUACAGGGUGACAGCCCCGUACACAAAAAUGCACAUGCUGUGAGCUCGAUGAGUAGGGCGGGACACGUGGUAUCCUGUCUGAAUAUGGGGGGACCAUCCUCCAAGGCUAAAUACUCCUGACUGACCGAUAGUGAACCAGUACCGUGAGGGAAAGGCGAAAAGAACCCCGGCGAGGGGAGUGAAAAAGAACCUGAAACCGUGUACGUACAAGCAGUGGGAGCACGCUUAGGCGUGUGACUGCGUACCUUUUGUAUAAUGGGUCAGCGACUUAUAUUCUGUAGCAAGGUUAACCGAAUAGGGGAGCCGAAGGGAAACCGAGUCUUAACUGGGCGUUAAGUUGCAGGGUAUAGACCCGAAACCCGGUGAUCUAGCCAUGGGCAGGUUGAAGGUUGGGUAACACUAACUGGAGGACCGAACCGACUAAUGUUGAAAAAUUAGCGGAUGACUUGUGGCUGGGGGUGAAAGGCCAAUCAAACCGGGAGAUAGCUGGUUCUCCCCGAAAGCUAUUUAGGUAGCGCCUCGUGAAUUCAUCUCCGGGGGUAGAGCACUGUUUCGGCAAGGGGGUCAUCCCGACUUACCAACCCGAUGCAAACUGCGAAUACCGGAGAAUGUUAUCACGGGAGACACACGGCGGGUGCUAACGUCCGUCGUGAAGAGGGAAACAACCCAGACCGCCAGCUAAGGUCCCAAAGUCAUGGUUAAGUGGGAAACGAUGUGGGAAGGCCCAGACAGCCAGGAUGUUGGCUUAGAAGCAGCCAUCAUUUAAAGAAAGCGUAAUAGCUCACUGGUCGAGUCGGCCUGCGCGGAAGAUGUAACGGGGCUAAACCAUGCACCGAAGCUGCGGCAGCGACGCUGAUGCGUUGUUGGGUAGGGGAGCGUUCUGUAAGCCUGCGAAGGUGUGCUGUGAGGCAUGCUGGAGGUAUCAGAAGUGCGAAUGCUGACAUAAGUAACGAUAAAGCGGGUGAAAAGCCCGCUCGCCGGAAGACCAAGGGUUCCUGUCCAACGUUAAUCGGGGCAGGGUGAGUCGACCCCUAAGGCGAGGCCGAAAGGCGUAGUCGAUGGGAAACAGGUUAAUAUUCCUGUACUUGGUGUUACUGCGAAGGGGGGACGGAGAAGGCUAUGUUGGCCGGGCGACGGUUGUCCCGGUUUAAGCGUGUAGGCUGGUUUUCCAGGCAAAUCCGGAAAAUCAAGGCUGAGGCGUGAUGACGAGGCACUACGGUGCUGAAGCAACAAAUGCCCUGCUUCCAGGAAAAGCCUCUAAGCAUCAGGUAACAUCAAAUCGUACCCCAAACCGACACAGGUGGUCAGGUAGAGAAUACCAAGGCGCUUGAGAGAACUCGGGUGAAGGAACUAGGCAAAAUGGUGCCGUAACUUCGGGAGAAGGCACGCUGAUAUGUAGGUGAAGUCCCUCGCGGAUGGAGCUGAAAUCAGUCGAAGAUACCAGCUGGCUGCAACUGUUUAUUAAAAACACAGCACUGUGCAAACACGAAAGUGGACGUAUACGGUGUGACGCCUGCCCGGUGCCGGAAGGUUAAUUGAUGGGGUUAGCGCAAGCGAAGCUCUUGAUCGAAGCCCCGGUAAACGGCGGCCGUAACUAUAACGGUCCUAAGGUAGCGAAAUUCCUUGUCGGGUAAGUUCCGACCUGCACGAAUGGCGUAAUGAUGGCCAGGCUGUCUCCACCCGAGACUCAGUGAAAUUGAACUCGCUGUGAAGAUGCAGUGUACCCGCGGCAAGACGGAAAGACCCCGUGAACCUUUACUAUAGCUUGACACUGAACAUUGAGCCUUGAUGUGUAGGAUAGGUGGGAGGCUUUGAAGUGUGGACGCCAGUCUGCAUGGAGCCGACCUUGAAAUACCACCCUUUAAUGUUUGAUGUUCUAACGUGGACCCGUAAUCCGGGUUGCGGACAGUGUCUGGUGGGUAGUUUGACUGGGGCGGUCUCCUCCUAAAGAGUAACGGAGGAGCACGAAGGUUGGCUAAUCCUGGUCGGACAUCAGGAGGUUAGUGCAAUGGCAUAAGCCAGCUUGACUGCGAGCGUGACGGCGCGAGCAGGUGCGAAAGCAGGUCAUAGUGAUCCGGUGGUUCUGAAUGGAAGGGCCAUCGCUCAACGGAUAAAAGGUACUCCGGGGAUAACAGGCUGAUACCGCCCAAGAGUUCAUAUCGACGGCGGUGUUUGGCACCUCGAUGUCGGCUCAUCACAUCCUGGGGCUGAAGUAGGUCCCAAGGGUAUGGCUGUUCGCCAUUUAAAGUGGUACGCGAGCUGGGUUUAGAACGUCGUGAGACAGUUCGGUCCCUAUCUGCCGUGGGCGCUGGAGAAUUGAGGGGGGCUGCUCCUAGUACGAGAGGACCGGAGUGGACGCAUCACUGGUGUUCGGGUUGUCAUGCCAAUGGCACUGCCCGGUAGCUAAAUGCGGAAGAGAUAAGUGCUGAAAGCAUCUAAGCACGAAACUUGCCCCGAGAUGAGUUCUCCCUGACUCCUUGAGAGUCCUGAAGGAACGUUGAAGACGACGACGUUGAUAGGCCGGGUGUGUAAGCGCAGCGAUGCGUUGAGCUAACCGGUACUAAUGAACCGUGAGGCUUAACCUU